rfam:Triticum aestivum genome assembly, contig: Triticum_aestivum_CS42_TGACv1_scaffold_031489_1BL
GAAAUACCCCCUUCAUUUGAAAAUACUUGUCAUUAAAAUGGAUAAAAAUGGGUGUAUCUAGAACUAAUAUACAUUUAGAUACAUCCGCUUUUAUUCAUUUUGAUAACAAGUAUUUCCGGACGGAUGGAGUAUAAG